rnacentral:rRNA from 1 species
UACGGAGGGUGCAAGCGUUAAUCGGAAUUACUGGGCGUAAAGCGCGCGUAGGCGGUUUGUUAAGUCAGAUGUGAAAUCCCCGGGCUCAACCUGGGAAUGGCAUUUGAGACUGGCAGGCUAGAGUGUGGUAGAGGUGAGUGGAAUUUCAGGUGUAGCGGUGAAAUGCGUAGAGAUCUGAAGGAACAUCAGUGGCGAAGGCGACUCACUGGGCCAUUACUGACGCUGAGGUGCGAAAGCGUGGGUAGCAAACAGG